AGCAGAUGAUGACAUGCAGAAUUGGAGAGCGGCAGCUGUACUUAUUUCAUUCUACGUGUAACAAAUGAGGAUGCAGUUGAAUAAUGUAUCGAAGUCUAGGCAUGAUGCCUACAGGAAGAUGUGAAGCAGCUGGAGAGAAUCGGGGGAGAAAGCAUCCCUCAGAUUCUGAAGAUUUGAAAUCUGGGACAUAUCAUCGAACUACACCAUGAGGUCUAAAAGUUUGGGAUCACCAAAAUCCUCCAGAUGAAAACUGCUCACAAGCGUUCUCUGGCUUAGCACACUUUUUGGGAAGGAUGUCCUACUUUAUUUCUUCUAAAUGAAAUCUUUCUUUGCCUUGUUAAAACUAGUCUGUGCUGUAAGCAGAGAGACCAGGGAAGUGCUCCAAAGAGGAGGGAAUGAAUGUAUGUGACUGUGUAUCGAUGUGUCAGCCAGUUCAGAUGGAUGUGUACGUGUCUCAGUAUGCUU